UAUUGCACUCUCCAGGACCUUCAAAAAGACAAACCUGAAUCCUAAUUUAAGACGAGAAAGAGGAGGAGGAGGAAGAAGAAGAAGAAAAAGAUUCCAAUAAUUGAAGAUAAUCCGUAUAGUAAGAGCAGGAAGAAAAAUUAUAAACAAAAUAACCCUUCCUCAAUAAGAAUAACUUGAAGAUCUUUGAUUAAAAUGUUAUUAAAACCCAAAGUUCUAUAAAGACAAAUUGCUAGAAACAUAAAAAACAAUCCUCAGCUUAAUGUGGGGAUUGGCCAAAAUGACAAAGCCGUUGAUCACUGUUGUGGCUUCAGAAGAACUUUCCAGAACAGACUGUUUUUUGUUCCUCCUUCCUCAGAAAACAUGAUGUCCCUCAAAAAUGUUCCUCAGUGAGUCAGAAAUGUGGACCGCAGAGCUGGCUUCCUUUCAGGGUUCUCCAGUGGCAGCCCAGCUGGGACACACAGAAGUGAGACUCUGCUCGCCCCAGGGCAGCUUUUCUGGGCCACAGGAAACCAUUUUACAGUAUUUCCUAUGCUUUCGUCUGCAGCUGCCUAUGGUGUGAGCAGUGAAUCUGUUUCUUCUAACUUGCCACGUUGAUGUGUUCUCUCACCAGACUAAGGUCAUUGAUAAAAGCACAGCCAAGGGUGCGGUACUCAGAGGGUUUCUGAGCGCUGUUUGAAGGGGUUACGUAGCUAUGAUCUUGGUUAUCCCUAGCCAGUGGGAGCCCCGCUUUGGAUUAGUUAUUAGUGACUCUGCUUCAUAAAAGUGGUACAAAGAACAGGAUGUAAUCUGACAGUACCCUGGUACCUGUGUGAAGCAGGAAGGCGGGAUUAUCGCAGGGUGGAGACAUCAGGGACAGGAGUCCUGGAGAUAUUUGAUGGGGAAGAAAGAGUGGUCUGUGUGUCUGUAUCCCAGUGGGGUCAGAAAUCGUUCUCUCCUUCUGCUAUGUUGAUUCGGGGUCGCAGUCUCUGAUACUCUUGACCUUGGGGAGCAGCGUCUGAAAACAGGCGAGGAACGCCUCCUUCAGGAGUGUGAAGGCAGUAAGACUGUCCUGAUGCUGUCAGGCCCGGCGUUGAAUGAUGCUCUCCUAAUGGAAACCACACUGGGGAUAGUUUUAUAAGGCCAUAAAGAAGGCAAGUUAGCUCGUUUCCUCCCCUGACUCCCGAACACAGAGCAUCCCGAGGGGCUCCACUGGAGAAGAGAAGGAUGGUGUAGUUUUUAGCUGAGCUUAAUUUCGUUUUCAUUCAGCUACAAUAAAUAACAUAGCACAUAAAACUCUGUGUCUUUGGGAGCGUAUUUGUCUGAAAAAACAACAACAAAUAAU